rnacentral:rRNA from 1 species
CCCUUAGAUGUUCUGGGCCGCACGCGCGCUACACUGUUCGACGCAGCGAGUCUUAACCUUGACCGAAAGGUUUGGGUAAUCUUCAGCAAAGUCGAACGUGAUGGGGAUCGAUCAUUGCAAUUAUUGAUCGUGAACGAGGAAUUCCUAGUAAGUGCAAGUCAUCAGCUUGCGCUGAUUACGUCCCUGCCCUUUGUACACACCGCCCGUCGCUACUACCGAUUGAAUGGUUUAGUGAGAUCUCUGGAUUGACGCUGGCUAGGGGGCGACCCUUGGCCAGACUGUUGAGAAACUGCUCAAACUUGAUCGUUUAGAGGAAGUAAAAGUCGUAACA